CAGAAAGAAGCAUUUUCUUUCACCUUUUGUGCAAAGGGUUGCUUUAUCCAUGUGUCAGAAAGGGUUCUGGCUGUCUUGCAGGAGCCAAGCAAACACACCUUGCUGGCCAUUUGCAGGGGCUGGAGGCAGCAUCACUGCGCCCUGAGGGGAUCCACAGCACAGUCGUCUGCCAUAACCACUUACUUCCUUGGAGAAAAUGGGCUGAAAACGCAGCAGUCCCUGCCUGGAGGAAACCCUUCUCCCUGUGCUGCAUCUGGAGGCAUUGUGAGAACCUUGGAGCAUGCAGGCCUUUGGACAUCCCAGCAUUGGAGAAUUUUGUGUCCAAAAUUCCUGGUCUAUUUUUGAAAUAUGGCCAUGAUGUGAGUGUGAUUUGUGGGAGGGAGAACUUACCCAGAACUCAGCACUUCUGGAGGUCUCAGAUGAGAACACAUCCCUCAAUGAUUCUGCUACAGAUAACGGCUGCUGGGCAGUCUGUGAGCUCAUCCAGAGCAGGACUUGGCUCAGCCUUCCCCACAUUUGCCUUGAAUGCAACAUCCAAGCAUGAUCAUAGCUGGAGCUUCCCCUCAUCAAAGCAGAAAAUAAGCAGAAGGACCAACCACCUGCCACUCACUUGGUCACCUCAACAAGGCCAGGCUGGGGCUGAGAAUCAAUAG
rnacentral:lncRNA from 1 species